rnacentral:rRNA from 1 species
ACGAAGGGGGCUAGCGUUGCUCGGAAUGACUGGGCGUAAAGGGCGCGUAGGCGGAUUGUAUAGUCAGGCGUGAAAUUCCUGGGCUCAGCCGGGGGGCUGCGCUUGAUACGUAUAGUCUUGAGUGGGGAAGAGGGUCGUGGAAUUCCCAGUGUAGAGGUGAAAUUCGUAGAUAUUGGGAAGAACACCGGUGGCGAAGGCGGCUACCUGGACCGGUUCUGACGCUGAGGCGCGAAAGCGUGGGUAGCAAACAGGA